AGUGGCUGGAUUUAACAGGAGAGAGUUGAGUGGACGCCACAAAUGGGUCGGAAGCUCUGAGUUGAUGUGCAAUACGUACUCACUUGGGAGAUUUCGUUACAGCAUUUUACACAGUGGUUGUGAAGAGAAUUGCAGAGACUGAGUGCAUUUCACGAGACUGACUUUACUUUUUGUAUUUCACCUGUCAAUUUAAUGGAGAGUGGUAUUAUGGAACAGGAGAAAUAUCUGCCAGAGCUGAUGGCCGAAAAAGAUAGCUUGGAUCAUUCGUUUGUUCAUGCAAUGCGCCUGUUGGCUGAAGAAAUUGACAAAUACGAAGGGGAUGAAGCCAAAAAGGAAGAUGAGGAGAAGAAAUACCUCGAUGUCAUCAGUAACAAAAACAUUAAAUUGUCAGAAAGAAUACUGAUUCCCGUACAACAGUAUCCAAAGUUUAAUUUUGUGGGUAAAUUGCUUGGACCACGAGGCAACUCACUGAAGAGGUUACAAGAAGAAACAGGGGCAAAAAUGUCCAUCCUAGGGAAAGGAUCAAUGAGGGAUAAAGCCAAGGAGGAAACGCUUAGAAAAAGUGGAGAAGCAAAGUAUGCUCACUUGAGCAAUGAUCUGCAUGUGUUAAUUGAAGUAUUCGCUCCACCUGGAGAAGCCUAUUCUCGAAUGAGUCAUGUCUUGGAGGAGAUAAAAAAAUUCCUAGUUCCAGAUUAUAAUGAUGAGAUACGCCAAGAGCAGCUAAGAGAACUCUCGUAUCUGAAUGGCUCAGAAGACUCAAGCCGAGGGAGAGGAGUUGGAGGACGGGGCAUUCGGCUCCCUCCUACAGUUGCUGCAAGGGGCCGAGGAGCAGCAGUCCCUCCCCCUCCCCCAGGAAGAGGGUCCGUCACACCAAGAGGAGUGCCUGUGAACCGUGGAUCACUGCCUGGUCUGCCAGUUGUGCCAGCCCCGCGUGCAAGGGGGGCUCCAGGGGCACCAGGGUACAGACCAGCCCCACCUCCAGCAACCCACGACUCAUACGAGGAAUAUGGAUAUGAUGAUGGAUAUGAUGGGGAAUAUGAUGAUCAGACAUAUGACACAUAUGAUGAAAGUUAUGGCAGCCAGACUCAAAGUGUCCCUGAAUAUUAUGAGUAUGGGCACGGAACAAGCGAAGAAGCAUAUGACAGUUACGCUGAUGAAGACUGGCCAACGACCCGCCCUAGCCUCAAAGCACCACCAGCAAGGUUAUCCAGAGGGGGCUACAGAGAACACCCCUAUGGUAGAUAUUGAAGGUGCUCCUCUUCUGUGACCUCCUCUCAAAGACUGUAUUAAUAUCCAGUGGUCCCCACAUAAGCCACUACAAGACAAGUUUCAAAUCUCAAGUGAGCUACUCAGUAGAAGCCACAGAUAGAGUAAAGGACUAAUCUCACUGCUCGGCAGAGAGACCCCCCUCCCCCCCGUGGGAGGAAACCUCUGGUGAUUCUGGCAGAGAGAUGGACCCCACUCUGGGCAUACUAGCGAUAUUCUGAUGAGCCGGAAUCUUUGCUGUGUACAGCGAGCUAUGAAGGUCCUGGCUUGAGGAAUAAUGGAAAUGGCGAAAUUGAAAUGCCCCAGGAGCGAAUAAGUUCCGUUUUUUAAAUAGUUUGCUUGAUCUGGAAGGAUUGAGUGGAGGAAUUCAUUCUCUGUCCAGCAGUGACAGUGACCAGGAUGAAGUCCAGCCAGCUAAAAGUAUUUGCAGAUGGAUUCAUUUACCUGCAGCACCCAAAGCACCAACUCCACCACCUGAGCACAUGUUCAUGGAUGAGGAAGGUGAUGAAUUAGUCAUCUUCCAGAAGAAGCAUUGCCUGGCUCCCCACAACGAGAAAUUGGGAUGAGAACAACAUUACACAAGGGCCAAGCAGCACACCACUACCUGUACCAACCAGAAAGAAGAAUGAGUGCAGAGUUUCCAUACAACUGUGCAGUGAGGGAAAACCAGCUCACCAAUAAAGCAACUGAUGGAGAGAUUGAAGCAUUUGUUAAACGUUGGUUCCAACUAUCAGGCGAUCGUAAUGGAGGCAGAAAAGAAAGGGAAAAUAAAAAAAAGCAAGCUGCAGUUGCCACUACUAACUCCUAAGACUGACUUGAUGGUUUUCUUUGUAUGUACAUAAAUGUGCCCCUUCCAGUACUGUUUUGUUUUUAAAGGUGCUGUAUAUUGCUGGUAAAGCACAAAACCAUUGUAUCUCUACUUUUUGUAAAAACUUGUUAAUGUUUUCUACAUUUAAAUCUCAUUUUCUUUAUAUAUGUGGGGUUUUUUUUGUCCAUACCUGAAAGUGAAUGAAUGGAAACCUUAAACCUUUGAUGCUUAAUAUCUCAAAAUUAGGUGAAAUGGAUAUACUAAUAUUUAAAUUGUGGGUAAAAUAACAUGUUAAAGUUUUCAUUUUUUAAGUCUAUAAAACAUGCCAGAUGUAAAAUACAACUCCAAGAACCUAGUUUGCUUUAUUUAAAAAAAAAUAAUAAUGGAGUUACAUUACAUGGGGAGGUUAUUUUCUGGCACAGUAACACUUUCAAAUGUUAUGGUAAGUUCUGGACUUUUAUCUUUAAAAGGUUAAUGUCAACUGCUAAAGAAUCUGCCCUUUUAUGAUUUUUUGUUUAGAAGAUGGCCUCUAUUUAGAAAACAGUGAAGACCACUGGCAUAGAAUAUAAAAAUAUAUAAUAGAGCCCCCAGUUUUUUGUUUUAUUUCUUAGUCCCAUUUAUUUAACAUCUGCAUCAGUCUUUGUGCAAAACAAUUUUAAAUGAUUCUGAUGCAGCUUUUUAUUUUUCCUGUUCAUUCUUUGCUUGUUUGUCAUUUUCCGCUUCUCUUUUAUUGAUUGUUCUCAAACAAUCCAAAAACAUUUAAUUUCGUGAAAUAAUUUUUUUCAACAAUUUAGUGUAUACACAAAUUUAUUUUCAGAUGUGUUUAUUUAAAUGUUAUCUUUUUUUGUAGUUGUGCUUUAUGCACUAUAUCUGUAUGUGAACUUUUUAUGUUCAAAUAUUCGUUUAUUUGCAUUGUUUCAGUUGUGGAGAUGUUUAUGACUUGCCAGAAUAAAAUUAUAAAUUAGAAGAUUUUCAUCUUUUUAUUAUAUUUAAAAUGUUCAGACACAUAGUUACAUUUGCUAUUUAUACCUAAGAUUACAAUUGUGCAAUGGUUCCACAGUAAGAAAAUAUUGUAUGUACUUGGAUUAGUGUAAUUUGCUAGAACUUAAAGUUACAGCAGUGCAAAAAAGGACAGCAGUGUGGCGUAGUGGUUAGGGCUCUGGACUCUUGACCGGAGGGUUGUGGGUUCAAUCCCUGGUAGGGGACACUGCUGCUGUACCCUUGAGCAAGGUACUUUACCUAGAUUGCUCCAGUAAAAACCCAACUGUAUAAAUGGGUAAUUGUAUGUAAAAAUAAUGUGAUAUCUUGUAACAAUUGUAAGUCGCCCUGGAUAAGGGCGUCUGCUAAGAAAUAAAUAAUAAUAAUAAUAAUAAUAAUAAUAAUACUGUUCAGCUAGAAAAUUGCUUAAGACAAUUGCUGGCCCAGAUCCGGUGACCCAAACCCUGGCCAAUUCCUUUAGCCCUGAUCCGGACUGUCAUUCAUUCUGUCACAGCAACCAACGCUGGCCCAGAUCCGGCAACCAACGCUGGCCCAGAUCCGGCAACCGCUGCUUUCCCAGAUCCGGUGACUUAACGCUGGCCCAGAUCUGAUGACUCAAUGCUGGCCCAGAUCCGGCAACCAACGCUGGCCCAGAUCUGUUGACUCAAACCCGGGCCAGUUCCUUUGGCCCAGAUUUGGGCCGUCAUUCAAUCUGACACUAGGCCAGUUCCAGCAGUCGGCAUUGGGCCAGAAUCACAGAAGUAAUUGGGCCGGAACUGGGCCAGUACUGGUGUGCUAUCUGGGAUGCCAGUCUAUUGGCAGCCUGCCAUUAUGUUCCAGUUUUUUAAUGGAGUUCUAUUGUGUCUCUACUAGGUUAGAUUUAAAUAUUAGAUACACUGAUGUAUUAAUUUAUCACCCUGUACAGGCUAAGAUAGGUGUCUUAUCACAGAUCAGCAGAAUACAUGAUCUGUGAUCUGCAUAGAAAGAAUAGAAGUUGAAUACACUGGGGGCAGGAAGAUAUUAAUCAACUGAAUAAAAAUGAGUUGUAGGAUUAACGCCAUGGCAAGACAAGGAGGUUGUAAAUUCACCCAUCCACACCCAAAGUGAAAGAUGUAAAUGCUUAAACUGGUGCUCUGCACAAUGGAUGUCUGGUAAAUUAUUUUUACACUAACUUUAUAUGGGUAUGAAAUACAUCUUAACUAAUGCAUUAUUCUUGUUUAAAUUCACUUUUUGUGUUUCAGUCCUCACAUCCUGGUGACUUUUUAAAACUGAAUAAAGGCCUCAAUAUCUCUCAGAAUUAUGUCUAAAUCCUAUGUACACCUGUGUGAUAGAUCGACUUGGGGCAGAAUGCUGCAGAAGGAAAUAUUAAUGGUUACUCUGUCGUUGUACAUGAUUAUGAGAGCUCUAUUGAGGCUACAGAUAAAUUUGUUAAGAUAAUUGAUAAAUAGUGAUCACAUUAAGGGGUCGUCCAAAAUUAUCAAAUACAGCAAGUGAACACAACGUGCUCUUUUUCAAAACCACCCUACUUUAUCAAAAUGUAAUUACUCAGCAUAAUGAAAGUGAA